GACAGAGGGUGCAAACGUUGCUCGGAAUUACUGGGCGUAAAGCGCGUGUAGGUGGAUUGGUGUGUCAGAUGUGAAAUCCCUGGGCUCAACCCAGGAACUGCACCUGAAACUACCAGUCUUGAGUGGUGGAGAGGGAAGUGGAAUUCCUGGUGUAGAGGUGAAAUUCGUAGAUAUUCGGAAGAACACCGGUGGCGAAGGCGGGUCUCUGGGCCGAUACUGACGCUGAGGAGCGAAAGCGUGGGGAGCGAACAGG
rnacentral:rRNA from 1 species